CAUCCUCCAAGGCUAAAUACUCCUGACUGACCGAUAGUGAACCAGUACCGUGAGGGAAAGGCGAAAAGAACCCCGGCGAGGGGAGUGAAAAAGAACCUGAAACCGUGUACGUACAAGCAGUGGGAGCCCCACCACCAAAGCAUUCUCUGGUGUUGAAGGCCCUGCAAAGCAGCAUCGCGGUGGCGGAGCGUCGUUUGCGACGCCCAACACACAAAACAAGCGGUGAGUGCUUUGGGGUGGGGUGACUGCGUACCUUUUGUAUAAUGGGUCAGCGACUUAUAUUCUGUAGCAAGGUUAACCGUAUAGGGGAGCCGUAGGGAAACCGAGUCUUAACCGGGCGUUAAGUUGCAGGGUAUAGACCCGAAACCCGGUGAUCUAGCCAUGGGCAGGUUGAAGGUUGGGUAACACUAACUGGAGGACCGAACCGACUAAUGUUGAAAAAUUAGCGGAUGACCUGUGGCUGGGGGUGAAAGGCCAAUCAAACCGGGAGAUAGCUGGUUCUCCCCGAAAGCUAUUUAGGUAGCGCCUCGUGAACUCAUCUCCGGGGGUAGAGCACUGUUUCGGCUAGGGGGCCAUCCCGACUUACCAACCCGAUGCAAACUGCGAAUACCGAAGAAUGUUAUCACGGGAGACACACGGCGGGUGCUAACGUCCGUCGUGAAGAGGGAAACAACCCAGACCGCCAGCUAAGGUCCCAAAGUCACAGUUAAGUGGGAAACGAUGUGGGAAGGCUCAGACAGCCAGGAUGUUGGCUUAGAAGCAGCCAUCAUUUAAAGAAAGCGUAAUAGCUCACUGGUCGAGUCGGCCUGCGCGGAAGAUGUAACGGGGCUAAACUGUGCACCGAAGCUGCGGCAGCGACGCUUAUGCGUUGUUGGGUAGGGGAGCGUUCUGUAAGCCUGCGAAGGUGUCCUGUGAGGGAUGCUGGAGGUAUCAGAAGUGCGAAUGCUGACAUAAGUAACGAUAAUGCGGGUGAAAAGCCCGCUCGCCGGAAGACCAAGGGUUCCUGUCCAACGUUAAUCGGGGCAGGGUGAGUCGACCCCUAAGGCGAGGCCGAAAGGCGUAGUCGAUGGGAAACGGGUUAAUAUUCCCGUA
rnacentral:rRNA from 1 species